CUUCCAUUAUGAUGAAAACUACAUACCAUACUCAGAGAAAUUAUGUUGAAAUCUUAUUUAACAUGCAUCACCAUCUGACUAUAAAA
rnacentral:snoRNA from 1 species